rnacentral:rRNA from 1 species
AUUCCAGCUCCAAUAGCGUAUACUAAAGUUGUUGCAGUUAAAAAGCUCGUAGUUGAAUUUCUGGUCUCGGACAGCGGUCUGCCUCAAACGAGGUACGCACCACCUGUUCAGGUCCAUCCUCGGAGAAAACAUGCCUGUGAUUCAGUUCAUGGGUAUGGGAUCUUCGUCAUUUACUGUGAGCAAAAUAUAGUGUUCAAAGCAGGCUUAUGCCGUUGAAUACAUUAGCAUGGAAUAAUAAAAUAAGACCUUGGUCUAUUUUGUUGGUUUGUACUCUAAGGUAAUGAUUAAUAGGGAUAGUUGGGGGUAUUCGUAUUCAAUUGUCAGAGGUGAAAUUCUUGGAUUUAUGGAAGACGAACUACUGCGAAAGCAUUUACCAAGGAUGUUUUCAUUA